CCCUAAGCAUUUUCGUCCAACCUAUAAUCUCUUCACGUUUUUUUUCUCCUUCCUCUCCAGGCCCUAAACCUGCCGCCCCUUCUCCUUUCCUCUCCCAGCCCUAAAUCCAUCGCCCUUCACGACUCGUAGCGAACCAGUCGCAGGGAGGGAGAGAGAUGGCCAACAGAGACCACAAGCGUAGGAGCAACCAGGGGGGAUCAGCAACGGAGGUCACAUUAUCCAGAGGACGAUGAUGAAAAAUCCCCAGCUGGAGGGGCUUUAACCAUCCUCCUUGGAUAGCUUCAAAUCCAUGGAGAACGAUGAUGGAGUUUCUUUGGAAAGUGGCGAAAGAAGUCCUCUGCUGGAUAAGAACUAAUCAUCAAGGCAUUUUGAAGACAAUGGUUCUGAGGAGAUCGAUCAAAGAUCUGAGCCACAAAGUGUAACUUCCUAUCUCCAAGGCACCACCAAUAAUCUUAGCAUUUUCGUUCCUGGAAGGUAUUGCUUUCAAUGGCAUUGGCAUAAACUUAGUUUUGUAUC